rnacentral:rRNA from 1 species
ACAAUAGGCCGUCAGUGGGACAUCAUAGAGGGUGACAAUCCCGUCCUUGACGCUAAUGUGCAAGUCCGUUACGAUGGCUAUCUCAGAGAGUCGAGCAGUUUGGGAUUUGCUGCUUAAACAUGGGAGGUAGAUUCCUUCUAAAGCUAAAUACAGGCGAGAGACCGAUAGAGAACAAGUACCGCAAGGGAAAGAUGAAAUAGCACUCUGUGAAGGGAGUCAAAAGACGUGAAAUUGUUGCGAGAGAAGCGAUUCAAGUCAGCGUAGCUAGGCCCAUUAAGCCUCUUUGCUUUGGACUAGCUUUGCCAGCGGUCUUGUCCUAGAGACUUGACUUGUAAAUGUCCAGCCUGGUUUGCACAGGUAGCCCCCCUCUGGGGGGGGUCAGUGGCAUGGCUGGUGGAAUGGCUUGCAAUCGACCCGUCUUGAAACACGGACCAAGGAGUCUAACAUGUAUGCGAGUAUAAGGGUGGCAAACCCGUAUGCGCAAUGAAAGUGAUUUUCGGUGAUUGAGAAUGGCCUGAUGACCAGACAAGCAAUACAUGUCCCUCGUACGGCCAUUGCCCAAGUUCCGUGGUAGAUCCCAUGAACAUGGAGUUGGAGCAUACAUGCUAGGACCCGAAAGAUGGUGAACUAUGCCUGGACAAAGCGAAGCCAAAGGAAACUCUGGUGGAGGCUUGUAGCGAUUCUGACGUGCAAAUCGAUCGUCUGAUCUGGGUAUA